rfam:Hordeum vulgare subsp. vulgare, WGS project CAJW01000000 data, contig: morex_contig_1604036
UUUGUACUCCCUCCGUCUCAAAAUGCUUGUCUUAAAUUUGUUUAGAAAUGGAUGUAUCUAAAUACUAAAACAUGACUAAAUAUAUUCAUAUCUAGACAAACCUACAACAAGAAUUUUGGGCGGAGGGAGUAGUUC